rnacentral:sRNA from 1 species
UUCUCGCCAGGCUCCUGCAGCCCCAGGCGUGAACCGAGGUUUCUGAACUACUGGGCGGGAGCCAACGUCUCUUCUUUCUCCCGCUCCGGCGGAGGCUUUGUCGCUGCGGGUUGGGCCCCAGUGUGCCCCCCAUGGCGGGGCCGCGGGUGGAGGUCGAUGGCAGCAUCAUGGAAGGGGGCGGCCAGAUCCUGAGAGUCUCUACGGCCUUGAGCUGUCUCCUAGGCCUUCCCUUGCGGGUGCAGAAGAUCCGAGCCGGCCGGAGCACGCCAGGCCUGAGCUGGGCAUGCCAAUAGUUGAGUUUCAGGUACAUGCACCUGUUAGAAGAGGACCCAGGUUUGAAGCCACACUGAUUGCUUUGCCUCAACAUUUAUCUGGACUGGAAAUGAUUCGAGAUUUGUGUGAUGGGCAACUGGAGGGGGCAGAAAUUGGCUCAACAGAAAUAACCUUUACACCAGAGAAGAUCAAAGGUGGAAUCCACACAGCAGAUACCAAGACAGCAGGGAGUGUGUGCCUCUUGAUGCAGGUCUCAAUGCCAUGUGUUCUCUUUGCUGCUUCUCCAUCAGAACUUCAUUUGAAAGGUGGAACUAAUGCCGAAAUGGCACCACAGAUCGAUUAUACAGUGAUGGUCUUCAAGCCAAUUGUUGAAAAAUUUGGUUUCGUAUUUAAUUGUGACAUUAAAACAAG